rnacentral:rRNA from 1 species
UACGUAGGGUGCGAGCGUUAAUCGGAAUUACUGGACGUAAAGCGUGCGCAGGCGGCGCGUUAAGACAGGUGUGAAAGCCCCGAGCUUAACUUGGGAAUUGCGCUUGUGACUGGCGUGCUGGAGUGUGGCAGAGGGAGGUGGAAUUCCACGUGUAGCAGUGAAAUGCGUAGAGAUGUGGAGGAACACCGAUGGCGAAGGCAGCCUCCUGGGCCAACACUGACGCUCAUGCACGAAAGCGUGGGGAGCAAACAGG